rnacentral:lncRNA from 1 species
UCGAGUAAAAGGUUACCACAGAUUUCAAUGUGAACAAUAUGCACAUGUGUAUUUACUGGUAACAUUCCCAAGUUAUGUCUCUGUGAGAUGGAACACAGAGAGCAUAACUGGGAACCAGUAUGUAAACAAAAUUAAUUUUCUAUGAAUAUUCAAGAUCUCCCCGAAAGAGGCGUGUUUUGAGAAACAGUUGUAUUUACAAAGUGCAACCUAAACAUGUAC